rnacentral:rRNA from 1 species
GACGAACGCUGGCGGCGUGCCUAAUACAUGCAAGUAGAACGCUGAAGGAGGAGCUUGCUUCUCUGGAUGAGUUGCGAACGGGUGAGUAACGCGUAGGUAACCUGCCUGGUAGCGGGGGAUAACUAUUGGAAACGAUAGUUAAUACCGCAUAAGAGUAGAUGUUGCAUGACAUUUGCUUAAAAGGUGCAAUUGCAUCACUACCAGAUGGACCUGCGUUGUAUUAGCUAGUUGGUGGGGUAACGGCUCACCAAGGCGACGAUACAUAGCCGACCUGAGAGGGUGAUCGGCCACACUGGGACUGAGACACGGCCCAGACUCCUACGGGAGGCAGCAGUAGGGAAUCUUCGGCAAUGGACGGAAGUCUGACCGAGCAACGCCGCGUGAGUGAAGAAGGUUGUCGGAUCGUAAAGCUCUGUUGUAAGAGAAGAACGAGUGUGAGAGUGGAAAGUUCACACUGUGACGGUAUCUUACCAGAAAGGGACGGCUAACUACGUG